rnacentral:RNase_P_RNA from 1 species
GAGAGUUAGCGCGGCAGUUGCAGAUGAGACCAUCCGUGGAUCUCAUCCGAGGAAAGUCCGGGCUCCCGAAAAACCAAACUUGCUGGAUAACGCCCAGUGCGCGCGAGCGUGAGGAUAGUGCCACAGAAAAAUACCGCCAACCCCGGUUGGUAAGGGUGCAAAGGUGUCGGUAAGAGCGCACCAGCAGUACCGUGAGGUGCUGGCUCGGUAAACCCCAGUUGGGAGCAAGGUCGGAGGGAUAAAGGUUGGUUUUUUCCCUAUCCCGUUUUUAGAGAACCGCUAGAGGUGGCUGGUAACAGACAUCCCAGAUAGAUAACUGCCCUUUGCUUGCCAAAGAACAGAACCCGGCUUACGUCUAACUCUCCUCA